rnacentral:lncRNA from 1 species
CUCCCACCAGAAACAGCAAGCAGGGCUUCCCCAACCUACACUGGGAGGACUGUUUCUCCACAGUGGUGACUUGCAAGGGACAAAACCUAAGAGAGAGAGAGAGAGAGAGAGAGAGAGAGAGAGAGAGACUGCUCUCCUAGAGGCUGUAAAAGCAGACCAGAGUUGAAAUCAUCUCAGUUUUGUGCUUGCCUCAGGCAUAGUUCAGAGUCCCCACUUCUUCACCUAUAAACAGAAAGUAGUGUCACCUGACUUCCAGAUGCUCAUUCAGCAAGAAGACCCGAAGGAGGACAUGACACGUGGCUAUCCACCUGUAGAGCUUCAGGAGCAGCUUCCAAGCUUCUCACAGGGGCAGGGCAACUCUGAAGUCUCCAGUGAGGGGGUGCCCAGCUCCAUGACCACCCCAGAUCCCAUCUCCUCAAAGUGCCUGCUCCUUCUCGGUCCCAUAGAAGAGGAGGACGGUGUCCUCACCCAUGCAGACGUCCCUCCGUCCAGGCAUGUCCAGUAGCAGCACUUUGCACGUUGUUGACUCCAAAUGAAUAUUAAACACAGAACCUCACCGAGGCCAGCCCUGCG